CCUACGGGGGGCAGCAGUCGAGAAUCAUUCACAAUGGGGGAAACCCUGAUGGGGCGACGCCGCGUGGGGGAAUGAAGGUCUACGGAUUGUAAACCCCUGUCAUGUGGGAGCAAAUUAAAAAGAUAGUACCACAAGAGGAAGAGACGGCUAACUCUGUGCCAGCAGCCGCGGUAAUACAGAGGUCUCAAGCGUGGUUCGGAAUCACUGGGCGUAAGGCGUGCGUAGGCUGUUUCGUAAGUCGUGUGUGAAAGGCGCGGGCUCAACCCGCGGACGGCACAUGAUACUGCGAGACUAGAGUAAUGGAGGGGGAACCGGAAUUCUCGGUGUAGCAGUGAAAUGCGUAGAUAUCGAGAGGAACACUCGUGGCGAAGGCGGGUUCCUGGACAUUAACUGACGCUGAGGCACGAAGGCCAGGGGAGCGAAAGGGAUUAGAUACCCCAGUAGUC
rnacentral:rRNA from 1 species